rnacentral:rRNA from 1 species
UACGGGGGGGGCAAGCGUUGUUCGGAAUUACUGGGCGUAAAGGGCUCGUAGGUGGCCAACUAAGUCAGACGUGAAAUCCCUCGGCUUAACCGGGGAACUGCGUCUGAUACUGGAUGGCUUGAGUUUGGGAGAGGGACGCGGAAUUCCAGGUGUAGCGGUGAAAUGCGUAGAUAUCUGGAGGAACACCGGUGGCGAAGGCGGCGUCCUGGACCAACACUGACGCUGAGGCGCGAAAGCUAGGGGAGCAAACGGG